UCUGGUCGCUCCCGGGAGCUUAGACCACUCGGCCACAUCAUCAACGUGCGCGAUAGUGACAG
rnacentral:tRNA from 1 species